rnacentral:rRNA from 1 species
GACUCCGGUUGAUCCUGCCGGACCCGACCGCUAUCGGGGUGGGGCUAAGCCAUGCAAGUCGGGGCCCCGGGCAAUGGCGGGGCCCGGCGGACGGCUCAGUAACGCGUGGCUAACCUACCCUCGGGACGGGGAUAUCCCCGGGAAACUGGGGGUAAUCCCCGAUAGGCGCGGACACCUGGAAUGGGUCCGCGCCGAAAGGGGCGCGGCGCCAUGCCCGCCGCGUCCGCCCGAGGAUGGGGCUGCGUCCCAUCAGGUAGUUGGCGGGGUAACGGCCCGCCAAGCCUAUAACGGGUAGGGGCUGUGAGAGCAGG